rnacentral:tRNA from 1 species
GCUCGGGUGGUGAAAUUGGCAGACACGCCAGACUUAGGAUCUGGUUCCUUCGGGAAUGGGGGUUCGAGUCCCCCCUCGAGCACCA